GCCUGGGUGGCUCAGUCGGUUGAGCGUCCGACUUCAGCUCGGGUCACGAUCUCACGGUUCUUGAGUUCGAGCCCCGAGUCAGGCU
rnacentral:tRNA from 1 species